UACGUAGGGUGCAAGCGUUGUCCGGAUUUAUUGGGCGUAAAGAGCUCGUAGGUGGUUCGGUAAGUCGGAUGUGAAAUCUCCAGGCUCAACCUGGAGGGGUCAUUCGAUACUGCCGUGACUAGAGUUCGGUAGGGGAGUGUGGAAUUCCCGGUGUAGCAGUGAAAUGCGUAGAUAUCGGGAGGAAUACCGAUGGCGAAGGCAGGUCUCUGGGCUGACACUGACGCUCAUGCACGAAAGCGUGGGGAGCAAACAGG
rnacentral:rRNA from 1 species